CCUACGGGAGGCAGCAGUGGGGAAUCUURGACAAUGGGCGCAAGCCUGAUCUAGCCAUGCCGCGUGAGUGAUGAAGGCCUUAGGGUCGUAAAGCUCUUUCGCCAGAGAUGAUAAUGACAGUAUCUGGUAAAGAAACCCCGGCUAACUCCGUGCCAGCAGCCGCGGUAAUACGGAGGGGGUUAGCGUUGUUCGGAAUUACUGGGCGUAAAGCGCACGUAGGCGGAUUAGAAAGUAAGGGGUGAAAUCCCAGGGCUCAACCCUGGAACUGCCUCUUAAACUGCUGGUCUUGAGUUCGAGAGAGGUGAGUGGAAUUCCGAGUGUAGAGGUGAAAUUCGUAGAUAUUCGGAGGAACACCAGUGGCGAAGGCGGCUCACUGGCUCGAUACUGACGCUGAGGUGCGAAAGUGUGGGGAGCAAACAGGAUUAGAUACCCUGGUAGUCCACACCGUAAACGAUGAAUGCCAGUCGUCGGGUAGCAUGCUAUUCGGUGACACACCUAACGGAUUAAGCAUUCCGCCUGGGGAGUACGGUCGCAAGAUUAAAACUCAAAKGAAUUGACGG
rnacentral:rRNA from 1 species